rnacentral:tRNA from 1 species
ACGCGUAGCUCAGCUGGUUAGAGCGCUCGCCUCACACGCGAGAGGUCAUGGGUUCGAGUCCCUUCGUGUCC